AUUGAACGCUGGCGGCAGGCCUAACACAUGCAAGUCGAGCGGCAGCACUUCGGGUGGCGAGCGGCGGACGGGUGAGUAACACGUAGGAAUCUACCUAGUAGUGGGGGAUAGCCCGGGGAAACUCGGAUUAAUACCGCAUACGCUCUACGGAGGAAAGGGGGCUUCGGCUCUCGCUAUUAGAUGAGCCUACGUCGGAUUAGCUAGUUGGUGAGGUAAAAGGCUCACCAAGGCGACGAUCCGUAACUGGUCUGAGAGGAUGAUCAGUCACACUGGAACUGAGACACGGUCCAGACUCCUACGGGAGGCAGCAGUGGGGAAUAUUGGACAAUGGGGAAACCCUGAUCAGCCAUGCCGCGUGUGUGAAGAAGGCCUCGGUGUAAG
rnacentral:rRNA from 1 species